rnacentral:rRNA from 1 species
UACAGAGGGGGCAAGCGUUGUUCGGAAUUACUGGGCGUAAAGGGCGCGUAGGCGGCCCGCUAAGUCGAACGUGAAAUCCCCGAGCUCAACUCGGGAACUGCGUCCGAUACUGGCGGGCUUGAAUCCGGGAGAGGGAUGCGGAAUUCCAGGUGUAGCGGUGAAAUGCGUAGAUAUCUGGAGGAACACCGGUGGCGAAGGCGGCAUCCUGGACCGGAAUUGACGCUGAGGCGCGAAAGCUAGGGGAGCAAACGGG